rnacentral:rRNA from 1 species
UUGAAAAGAACUUUGAAGAGAGAGUUCAAGAGUACGUGAAACCGUUCAGGGGUAAACCUAAGAAACCCAAAAGAUCGAACGGGGAGAUUCAUCGUCAGCGGCGCCGGCUUCGCGUCGGUGGGCGAUGUUCCGCGGAGUCCCUCGUGGCUCGCGCGCGGACACGCUACCGUGCGUCGAUGUCCGGCGCUCGUCGUCGUGCACUUCUCCCCAAGUAGAACGUCGCGACCCGCUGAGUGUCGGUCUACGGCCCGGGUGCGGUGACUGUCGCGUCGCCGGUAAAACGGCACGCGACAAACCCUCGGUCGCCCGGCCGGCUGCUCGGCGGUACGCGCAAGGUAUCAGGCCGCACUUAAGUGUGCGUCGAGGCCGUCGCAAGCGCGCGCCACGGUACUCGGAGGUACGGACUUUGCGCCGUCCCCGGUCCUGGCCCGCUGUUGGUUAAAGUUACGGUUCAACCUUCGACAGGCCUGCGAACGUCUUUCACCCUCUCACGUUUGAGUGGAGAGAGACCGAUACCGGUCGGCGACGCUACUGCUUUGGGUACUCUUAGGACCCGUCUUGAAACACGGACCAAGGAGUCUAACAUGUACGCGAGUCAUUGGGACUUGUCGCGAGACCUAAAGGCGUAAUGAAAGUGAAGGUCGGCCCUGGUUGUCGACCGAGGGAGGAUGGGCCGCGUCGAGAUGCGGCCUCGCACUCCCGGGGCGUCUCGUUCUCAUCGCGAGAAGAGGCGCACCCAGAGCGUACACGUUGGGACCCGAAAGAUGGUGAACUAUGCCUGGUCAGGACGAAGUCAGGGGAAACCCUGAUGGAGGUCCGUAGCGAUUCUGACGUGCAAAUCGAUCGUCGGAACUGGGUAUAGGGGCGAAAGACUAAUCGAACCAUCUAGUAGCUGGUUCCCUCCGAAGUUUCCCUCAGGAUAGCUGGCACUCGGCCGUUCCGCACGGAACGCGCGCGAGUCUCAUCUGGUAAAGCGAAUGAUUAGAGGCCUUGGGGCCGAAACGACCUCAACCUAUUCUCAAACUUUAAAUGGGUGAGAUCUCUGGCUUUCUUGAAUUAUGAAGCCACGAGCAUCUUCGGAUCAGAGUGCCAAGUGGGCCAUUUUUGGUAAGCAGAACUGGCGCUGUGGGAUGAACCAAACGCAGAGUUAAGGCGCCCAACUCGACGCUCAUGGGACACCAUGAAAGGCGUUGGUUGCUUAAGACAGCAGGACGGUGGCCAUGGAAGUCGGAAUCCGCUAAGGAGUGUGUAACAACUCACCUGCCGAAGCAACUAGCCCUGAAAAUGGAUGGCGCUGAAGCGUCGAGCCUAUACUCUGCCGUCAGCGGCAAGUGGGGCGGCAACCGGGAACCCUUGCGCGUCGGGUCGUUGUCGAUCCGACGUCGCAUGCGGUCUUCUCGCGUCGUCACGAAGCCCUGACGAGUAGGAGGGUCGCGACGGUGAGCGCAGAAGGGUCU